rnacentral:lncRNA from 1 species
AGGUGACCUGGCCCCGGAGCUGCUCCCUGGACCUGCGGGAGGUGCUCUGCGACCGCCCACGCCCCGGCCCGCGGCGCGUCCCGGACGUCCACGCUUGCGUUUCUGCGGAUCGUGGGAAUCCUUCUGCGUGGGUCUGUCUCACACCUUAACUUGAAGAGUUUUAGAAAUGCUAACCGAGCUCAGGUUUUGAACAUGUCUGGGACUGUGAAUUGGCUGCCAGAAUGAAGCAAAAGCAGCCAGGCUGAGAGAACCAUGGAGCUCUGAAGCCAGUCCCAAGAAGAAGCAGAAGACAUAAUACAAGCAGAAGACAGGGAGAGAAUAUUCUACGCGUAUAUACACAGGCUCAAUUUAGGCUAAUCCCUACGGGUAUGCUGCUGCCAAGUUGGUUCUUUUACUGUGCUCAUCAGAAGUGCCAGAAAAAUACCCGCACCCGCCCCCCAUUUAGCCUCUGGAAGAAGAUGUUCUAAAGGGCUCACAAACAUCCAGAUGUAGCUCUUACCAAGCUCCAGCGUCAGAAGGAGUGCCUCAGCGUCUAAGUCCGUAUAUACACACACGGCUUUUCAUGCAUCCUCUGCUGGGGAGGUCACAAUCUGAGGCACCCUUUAAAGCCACUUCUGGGAGAAAAGAAAGAGAAAAAAAAAAAUCAACCACUGAACGUCUAGUGAGCUGUUUCCUAAGGAGGCAUCAACAAACUCCUACCAGCCCCAGUCCUCAGUAACGUCAUGAGAUGGGCUGCUUGUGGUUGUCAAAACUGAUCUUCCCACUGCGGGUGAACACGUACGGCGGAUUGUUAUGGCUUAGGGCGCUUGACUGCACCGCUGUGAAAAUAUUCAGCAGAAUUCCACAAGCUCUUUGUUUGCCUUGCCUUAGUGGAAAUUCCUCCAGCUAUCCAAACACGCACCUGGGGGAGGUGUUUUUUUUUUCCCCCUCCACAUUUCAGGAAGGGGUUUCUUCUAAGUAAAAAUGUGUCCUUACCUCUCUUCUAAGUUCUCAGGCAAGACUUCUGGUUUGAGUUGAAGAUGACUAUGAAUGUGUUCUGGUUGGAAAGGGAGGUGGAGUUGGAGGAGCCGGAGAGGUCUGUAGCAAAUGUUCCUCCAACAGAGCUAAGCUGGGAAAAGGAAAGCCAAUGGAAGCCAACAAAGAAGGAAGCACGAAGCAAGGCUCCCCCAGAUUCCUAGAAGCCCAGGAACACAAAAGCCAGGAAGAUGAAUCGUCUUUUACAGUAGUAGACCUGUAUAUAGGAACGGGGAAGAUUCUAGGGUGAAAGAUCCGGGCUGCCGCUGGUCACCCAGAAGGGAGUAUGUACCUUGAGUUUCGUAACACGGAAUGGAAGUUUGGAGGCCCCUUGAAAAGAACCAAAGCACAAAGGAAGUUGGGCCUGAAGAAGGCUGGGAGACCUCUCACGCAGAGACCCAGGGCUCAGGACAGAGAAAGGAAGGUAGAACGCCAAGUGGAUCUCAUAUUUGCUCUGCGGGCUUCUGGGAAGUGUUUGAAAACAUUCUAUUUAAACUGUGCCUCUUAAGAGAGCUCUCCACUUACAUCUAACUCAGUGUGCUCAUAUUAGCAAAUAGAAAUUAUGGGAACAUUCCAAGUGCUCCCCGCCUUCCUGGUCCUCCCUCCCUGACCCCGAUAGUCUGUCCUGCCUGGAGUCUGGGCGAAUGUUUGUUUCUGAGGGAUGGAAACUGAUUAAAAACUAGAAGGCUGCUUGGGAAAAA